GCUAAUCAGCAGGUGGUGAAGAAUAAAAAGAGAGAAGGACAUUAGAGAGCAUUAGCAGAGACAAGGAUGUCCACUAUGAGACCACAGGACCAGCUGAAACCCGCCAGAACCAAUAUGACCGACUGGAGCUCGCGCAAGGAUUUGCCGGGCCACGGGGUGAUCUUUUGACGUCACCGUCUGAACUUCCGCCCCAAGUUUCAUACUAACUCCCCCUAAAUUUUCACAUGCCACCCAUGAAGAGGCAACUGCACAUGGGCAAGGGACUUUCCAAACAUCCCCGUUCCCUGGCCAAUCACUAAUCUACCCUGAAACACUUUCCUCCAAAUCCUUCUUUUACAAAUAUGGCUUUCAAGCCAGUACAAGGAAGACAGUUUUGAGCCCAUCUCCUGUCACGUUGCUUGGCCGUUUUGCAAUAAACCUUUCUCUCUACAAAAAUCCCAGGCUUCAUGUUUACCUUUCCAUUGCUCACGGGUAAAUGGACCUGGUUUGGUUCUAUAACAAUCGUUUGGAUGAGAGAUUUGGUAAUGACAGGAA
rnacentral:lncRNA from 1 species